rnacentral:rRNA from 1 species
GUGGGGAAUAUUGGUCAAUGGGCGAGAGCCUGAACCAGCCAAGUCGCGUGAAGGAAGAAGGAUCUAUGGUUCGUAAACUUCUUUUGCAGGGGAAUAAAGUGCAGGACGUGUCCUGUUUUGUAUGUACCCUGAGAAUAAGGAUCGGCUAACUCCGUGCCAGCAGCCGCGGUAAUACGGAGGAUCCGAGCGUUAUCCGGAUUUAUUGGGUUUAAAGGGUGCGUAGGUGGUUUGAUAAGUCAGCGGUGAAAGUUUGCAGCUUAACUGUAAAAAUGCCGUUGAAACUGUCGGACUUGAGUGUAAAUGAGGUAGGCGGAAUGCGUGGUGUAGCGGUGAAAUGCAUAGAUAUCACGCAGAACUCCGAUUGCGAAGGCAGCUUACUAAGCUACAACUGACACUGAAGCACGAAAGCGUGGGGAUCAAACAGGAUUAGAAACCCGAGUAGUCC